CGCCCUUAGAGUUUGAUCAUGGCUCAGGAUGAACGCUGGCGGCGUGCCUAAUACAUGCAAGUCGAACGCAAAGGUGCUUGCACCUCUGAGUGGCGAACGGGUGAGUAACACGUGGACAACCUGCCUCAAGGCUGGGGAUAACAUUUGGAAACAGAUGCUAAUACCGAAUAAAACUUAGUCGCAUGACCAAAGUUAAAAGGCGUUUGCGUCACCUAGAGAUGGAUCCGCGGUGCAUUAGUUAGUUGGUGGGGUAAAAGCCUACCAAGACAAUGAUGCAUAGCCGAGUUGAGAGACUGAUCGGCCACAUUGGGACUGAGACACGGCCCAAACUCCUACGGGAGGCUGCAGUAGGGAAUCUUCCACAAUGGGCGAAAGCCUGAUGGAGCAACGCCGCGUGUGUGAUGAAGGCUUUCGGGUCGUAAAGCACUGUUGUUGGGAAAGAAACAGCUAGAAGAAUUUUUAGUUUGGACGGCACCCAACCAGAAAGGGACGGC
rnacentral:rRNA from 1 species